AGUCUAAGUGUCAUUGUAUUAUAUUGUGAUUGUUAACAGAAAGGUUGACAUGGAAAUGAAAGUAGUUCAAGUGAUGCUAAUUUCACUCAUAUGUGAAAUCAGACCAGUCCUAUCCAAUGAUGAUAACACCAAUGUGGAGCUUUCUAAGACACCAACUACAGUAUCCAAAGCAGUGCACUUCUAUGCUGCACACCCAGCAUCAAUCGAUGGAAGCCUCAACCCAAUCCUUUUCAGUGACGUCACCCUGAAUGAGGGCUUUGCAUUCAGCGGGUCCUCAGGCAUCUUCACUGCUCCAGUGCAUGGAAUCUACCAGUUCUUCUUCUCAUUCCAGAGUGCCAGAAAUAACCCAGACAAUGCCUGGUGGCUGCAGGUUAAUGGUGUGGCUAAGGUUUUGUGCCAUUCUCAAGUUAGUAAAAAAUCCACUGUAGGUAGUAUGUGCACCUACAUGACUGAGCUGGCACAGAAUGAUCAAGUCACUGUGGUCCAAAACGCAGGGUAUGCCUGGGCCACUGCUACUACACGCACUAUUACCUUCUCUGGCUCGUUGCUGAUGCAGAAAUUUUAAGAACUUAAGAACGUUCUUAACUGUAAGAAAUGUAACUGUAUCAAAUUAAUAGCUCUCAUUCUCAUUUUCCCUUAAAAAUAAUGGCUUCAAAUGAAUUUUGAUGGUGCACUGAUGGUAAUAAUCAGGGGAGUGGCAUCUCGGUCAUUCAUGCAAGCGUUAGCCUGGAGACCACUUCACUGAGAGUCUGGCCUAGCUCCAUUGGCAAAUGUUUAUUUCCUGGUUUGUGGACGCUUGUCUGAAGUUUGAAUUCACUGGAGUUCAAUCACUAAUGUUUGGCAAUGACGUCUGAUAACCACGGGGACACAACGAUUAAAAUAGGCUUGAAACUUAAAUGCAAUCGCUCUUGGGAACACCCUCUGUUCGCUGAUUGGGCGGAGAUGCAUUUGCCGGAGUAAACCAAGCUGGAUCACGCUAUACCAGACGGAGUAUGAAGAGAGAUGCAAAUGAGCGGAAGUGCGUAGUCAGGUGGGGGCCAGGCUAAGAAAACGUGGUAUUGUAUGCUUUGGGUGUACCAGAGAAGUUACACUUUUCCUCACUGAGAGAUGAGAUUGAACAAACCCUGUUGAACUCUGUUGUUGUCUACUAAAGUAUGAGGAAUCCUAGGUGACUUUUAAUGUGAUUUUUGCAUUGUGGUUCAUGUUACAUUUCUCGUCUCCAUACAUACAGUAUGUAGGCCUGUUUAAGACUCUAUGUUUGUGUGUGACUAUUUUGUUUUGAAUGAUUGCUGUUCAUUGUCAAGAGAGAAAGGCAUUAAUAAAGACAGGUACAAAAAAGAAACAUUUCCUCCUGUUUGUUGCACCCCACCUGUCUGGUCUCAUUGCGUAACACUGAGCUCGGCCUACUUUUCAGGCCUAGUCACAUUUCACAUGUAGAAUGAAUCUCACAUAUGCUGUCAACAAAAACAUUCAGAUGGAAAAAACUGGUGGCUUCACUAAACUAUGGGAGGAGAGAGGACGUUCUGUGAGAUGCAACAUAGGCUACUUCAUCUUUACGUUGCACGGAA